AGGGUUGAAAACAUAACACUUCCCUCUUAGGCUUCUAGUCCUGCUCUGUUCUAGCUGCUCCUACCUGUUUAUUUGAUACUCAGAGAUCAGCCCGUGGAUAUACCUGCUUGCUUUGGCCCUGUGGCAGCUCAUUAAGGCUAUCUUAGCAGAUUCUUCUGUUCUCUGCGGACUGAGCACUCCGUCUUCUUUUUUGAUGGAAAGAAACCUUGAAUGGAUCAGUCUUUUAAAAAGAGGUCUCUUAAUAAAAAGUGCUAUGGAAAACAAAACCAAACCAAAAACCAAGGUAAAAGAGUCUAUACCAGUGGCUCUCAACCUUCCUACUGCCACAACCCUUUACAGUUCCUCAGGUUGUGGUGACCUCCAGCCAUAAAAUUAUUUUUGUUGCUACUUCUUAACUAAUUCUGCUACUGUUAUGAAUAGUAAUAUAAAUAUUUGUGUUUUCUGAUGUUCUUAGGUGACCCCAGUGAAUGGGUUAUUCAACCCACAGGCGUAUAUCACCUCACCCCUACAAUCCUGCUCCUUGAUAGGCUAUCCUAGGUCAGCUGACCCAGGCACUAUUAGGCCAGUUCCUAUCUUAAGCCUGUUUAUGAAUUACCUGUAGCCCAUUGUGGAUCAUCAGCUUUCUAGAUAACUCUAACAUUUUCCCCAUUCUCUUCCUUUCCAAAACUACCAGCCCAUUCUCAUUUGUAUGUUGCCAUCCUAUUAAUUGUUCUGAGGCUGAGUGUGUCUCGGGGAGCUUUUCAUUCAGUGACGGCUGACAGGCAAGCUCAGGAAGAACACAUCUAUACUGUAGGAUCAUACUUUGGAAAUGAUCUUUACCAGGUUUCCCAUUUUUGUAGACGAGGCAAACUUUCCCAUUCCCAUUGCAUGAAUCCAGCUCAAAUAUUGCACUGCGACAGUCAAAGUGAGGCUUCUCUAGCUGGUGGUCUUCAUUUCCUGUAAACCCAGAAAUCAACAGUAAUGUUCAAACUCAGCACUACUCAUACACCUUUACAAAGAUGGAAAAAUGGUGAAGAAUUCUAUGUUCUGAAUGCUCUGGGUUUCUUUCACUGAUGGAUCAGGCCUUCUUAUCACCAAUAGAAACUGAGAGACAAUCUGGUGGAAGAUGGCAUAAGGAAAAAUCACUGGACUUCCUGGGAAUGGAGCCAUAUAAAGGCAGAGCACUGUGAAUGUUAGGAUGCGGAUGGGAGUGUCUUCCUUUUCCUAGGUCACUGUAUAAGAAGAGAAUAUCAAGUACACCUCAUUCUUAAUUUCUGCACAGUAAUCCCAUGGGGAAGCCCUAGUCAGGUGGUAUAACUGACCCAUUACUUCUAGUGGUUGCUUCACGGCCUAUGGGAGUGGAUGAAUCAUAACUUGUUCCACCCCCAUUCAUAGAUAUUUACCUUAUCACCCUCUGAUGAUAGUACCAAAAUGUGUCUCACUUCUGGAUUUGUUCUAAUUCAUCUAUUUUCCCCCAUUAAAAACUAUUUUACUGCCUGGUAAUCUUUGAUUGGAUGCCAGAAAUUGUUAACCUUGUACUACUGAGUGCUAAAUGUUUUCUAUAAAUAUUCUUGAGCUUU
rnacentral:lncRNA from 1 species